rnacentral:misc_RNA from 1 species
AAAACACUGGCUGAAGACAGCAUCAGGGUUUUAACAGGAGGCCAUCACUGCUCAUCGUGCUGUGGCUGUUCAUCUCAGCUGUCGAAGCCCAGGUCAGCAUCAAGCGUCCGAUUCACCAUACGGCGAUGAGUUCCUGCCCGGAGAAGAUCCAGCUGUGGCACUGCAUGCGGCUCACUUGGGCAGCUCCUCCGUGCCACAGCAACUUCGACUGCGCCAUGCCCUUUCCCUGCUGCACCACCUGGUGCCGCAACUUCUGCGCCAACGACUUCCGCUCCUAGGCGGGGAACUCUCGAAGCAUG